CAAUAGCGUAUAUUAAAGUUGUUGCGGUUAAAAAGCUCGUAGUUGGAUUUCUGCCGAGGACGACCGGUCCGCCCUCUGGGUGAGUAUCUGGUUCGGCCUGGGCAUCUUCUUGGAGAACGUAUCUGCACUUGACUGUGUGGUGCGGUAUCCAGGACUUUUACUUUGAGGAAAUUAGAGUGUUUCAAGCAGGCACACGCCUUGAAUACAUUAGCAUGGAAUAAUAAGAUAGGACUUUGGAACUAUUUUGUUGGUUUGCGUUACAAAGUAAUGAUUAAUAGGGACAGUUGGGGGUGAUUCGUAUUUAAUUGUCAGAGGUGAAAUUCUUGGAUUUAUGAAAGACGAACUUCUGCGAAAGCAUUUACCAAGGGAUGUUUUCAUUAAUCAAGAACGAAAGUUAGGGGAUCGAAGACGAUUAGAU
rnacentral:rRNA from 1 species